GUGGGAAAUAACUAAUCGUGGUAAAAUGGAAUAAAAGGUUCAGACAUCCUUUUUGCUGUGGUGAAAGUAUGCUGGUGUUAUUGCAUGAAUGUAAACUUCAGUACCUUUUCCCUCUUUGGAAGAGAAGACUAUUAGUUUAGACAAGCCUGCUUUAAAACAUUUUAUUUGUAGUUACAUGUGAAUAGCUGAUUUAAAAAUUGCCAAGCCCGUCUACUCUACCUAAGUUUUCUGUAGUUUAGUGUUUUGCUGAAAUGCAAAAAGUUGCACACUUUUUAAUUUUAUACUGUGUAAAUUAAUACUUUCAUUUAGUCCUGUUUGAUUUAAUUUUGUGAUCAUGUUUUAAUGACAUGCAGCUGCUUCCCUGAAUGUUUCAACAAACACUGUCAUUUUACUGUAAGUCAAGGUUCAGUUGUGGUCAUAAUUAUGUGCAGAGCUUUUCCGAUUCUCUGUUGUCCGAAUUAGUGUUCUUUCAAAUGGCUUCCAAUCAGAACUAUUCAGGUACAUACUGUACAAGAUCUGUGUGUGCCCUCUUUUUUGACUCUUUAAAUUUCUCUCUCCUCACCCCAUUGAAAAAGCAGAGUUUAAGUACUUGGGCAACUUGAAAAAGAAAUCAAAUGUCUGCAUUUUUGUAACGUAACUUUUUUCUCCUCCCCUCCCAUGUCCAAUGCAUUUAGUGAAAUUAUACAUAAAUACUCAUAUUCUCAUUUUUGUUUAAAUAUGCUUGUCAUAGAUAUUAUCCAGAAGUCUGACCAUAACUAAACAUGAUCCAGUCAUUAACGCAGAUGAUGUUUUGCCUCUCUGACAGUAUUACACCACAAGAAAGAAGUGGGACCACAUUCAAUUCAGCACACCUACUGCCUCUUUGCUGUUCAACAAAUCACAAUGAUGUCAGCUUUUAAAGAUGCACUCUCCAUGGCACGCAGAUCACAACAGUAUUAUGAAAGUUGCAUGGAGAAGAGAUGGAGUGUCCCAAGGACAAUUUUUUCAAAUUGCAGUGCUGACACAGCUGCUUGGCCAUUCUGCAUAGCCAGUGACGCUUCACUUUCACACUUAGAAAGAGAAUGGUAUGCAUUUUGGGUCUAUGGUGCAGUUCUUAGCUUCUGAGGGAUGUUCCUUAAACAAAAGGGAUUGCUUUACGAUGGUGUGGCAUGAAUGCAAAAUAAGUACAACUGAAGCUAUUCCUAGUGUUUAAUAUGGGGGAAGAAUGACAAUGAUCUCUGACAUUAACUUGGAAUUCUCCACCUUGUUUGUGCUCUUAAAGGUUUCCAUGACAU